UGAGGUUAAGUUAACAAGGGCGCAUGGUGAAUGCCUUGGCACUAGGAGCCGAUGAAGGACGGGACUAACACCGAUAUGCUUCGGGGAGCUGUACGUAAGCUAUGAUCCGGAGAUUUCCGAAUGGGGCAACCCAGCAGUUUUAAUCAACUGUUACCACUAGAUGAAUUCAUAGUCUAGUUGGAGGUAAACGCUGUGAACUGAAACAUCUCAUUAGCAGCAGGAAUAUAAAGAAAUUUCGAUUCCCUAAGUAGCGGCGAGCGAACGGGGAACAGCCCAAACCAAAGUGCUUGCACUUUGGGGUUGUAGGACUGAACAUUUGAGUUACCAAAGAACUUGAUAGUCGAAGGAUUUGGGAAAAUCCGCCAUAGAUGGUGAUAGCCCAGUAGAUUAAAUCAAAUUCUCUCAGUUCAGGAUCCUGAGUACGGCGGAACACGUGAAAUUCCGUCGGAAUCCGGGAGGACCAUCUCCCAAGGCUAAAUACUACCUAGUGACCGAUAGUGAACCAGUACCGUGAGGGAAAGGUGAAAAGCACCCCGGGAGGGGAGUGAAAUAGUUCCUGAAACCAUGUGCCUACAAUAAGUCAGAGCGCGUUAAUGCGUGAUGGCGUGCCUUUUGUAGAAUGAACCGGCGAGUUAUGAUCCCGUGCAAGGUUAAGACUAAAAAGUCGGAGCCGUAGCGAAAGCGAGUCUGAAAUGGGCGAUUUUAGUACGAGGUUAUAGACCCGAAACCAGGUGACCUAUCCAUGUCCAGGUUGAAGGUGCGGUAAAACGCACUGGAGGACCGAACCCGUGUAAGUUGAAAAUUGCUGGGAUGAGGUGUGGAUAGCGGUGAAAUUCCAAACGAACUUGGAGAUAGCUGGUUCUCUCCGAAAUAGCUUUAGGGCUAGCCUCGGAAUUAGGAUCAUGGAGGUAGAGCACUAUUUGGACUAGGGGCCCGUCUUGGGUUACUGAAUUCAGAUAAACUCCGAAUGCCAUUGAUUCAUAUCCGGGAGUCAGACGAUGAGUGAUAAGAUCCACCGUCGAAAGGGGAACAGCCCAGACCAUCAGUUAAGGUCCCUAAAUGUAUGCUAAGUGGAAAAGGAUGUGGAGUUGCAUAGACAACUAGGAUGUUGGCUCAGAAGCAGCCACCAUUUAAAGAGUGCGUAAUAGCUCACUAGUCGAGUGAUCCUGCGCCGAAAAUGUACCGGGGCUAAGCAUACUACCGAAACCAUGGAUGCGACCAUUAGGUCGCGUGAUAGGAGAGCGUUCUAAGGGCGGUGAAGCAAGAUCGUGAGGACUUGUGGAGCGCUUAGAAGUGAGAAUGCCGGUAUGAGUAGCGAAAGAUAGGUGAGAAUCCUAUCCACCGAAUGACUAAGGUUUCCUGGGGAAGGCUCGUCCUCCCAGGGUUAGUCGGGACCUAAGUCGAGGCCGAGAGGCGUAGACGAUGGAUAACAGGUUGAGAUUCCUGUACUAGUUAAGUGCGUUUGAGCAAUGGAGGGACGCAGGAGGCUAAGAUGUGCAUUCUGUUGGAUUAGAAUGUCCAAGCAGUAAGUCUUGUGAAGAGUCAAAUGCUUUUCACUUUAAGGACAAGCUGUGAUGGGGAGCGAAAUUUAGUAGCGAAGCGUCUGAUGUCACACUGCCGAGAAAAGCUUCUAGUGAGUACUUAACUACCCGUACCGCAAACCGACACAGGUAGUCGAGGAGAGAAUCCUAAGGUGAGCGAGUGAACUCUCGUUAAGGAACUCGGCAAAAUGACCCCGUAACUUCGGGAGAAGGGGUGCUGAUCGCAAGAUCAGCCGCAGUGAAUAGGCCCAGGCGACUGUUUAUCAAAAACACAGGUCUCUGCAAAAUCGUAAGAUGACGUAUAGGGGCUGACGCCUGCCCGGUGCUGGAAGGUUAAAAGGAUGGGUUAGCUUCGGCGAAGCUCAGAAUUGAAGCCCCAGUAAACGGCGGCCGUAACUAUAACGGUCCUAAGGUAGCGAAAUUCC
rnacentral:rRNA from 1 species